GCACUGCUGUGGAGUCCCACGAUAGGACGAAACGGCCGUCAAGUGC
rnacentral:hammerhead_ribozyme from 1 species